rnacentral:rRNA from 1 species
GACGAACGCUGGCGGCGUGCUUAACACAUGCAAGUCGAACGGAAAGGCCCUGCUUUUGUGGGGUGCUCGAGUGGCGAACGGGUGAGUAACACGUGAGUAACCUGCUCUUGACUUUGGGAUAACUUCAGGUAACUGGGGCUAAUACCGGAUAGGAGCUCCUGUUGCAUGGUGGGGGUUGGAAAGUUUCGGCGGUUGGGGAUGGACUCGCGGCUUAUCAGCUUGUUGGUGGGGUAGUGGCUUACCAAGGCUUUGACGGGUAGCCGGCCUGAGAGGGUGACCGGCCACAUUGGGACUGAGAUACGGCCCAGACUCCUACGGGAGGCAGCAGUGGGGAAUAUUGCACAAUGGGCGGAAGCCUGAUGCAGCAACGCCGCGUGCGGGAUGACGGCCUUCGGGUUGUAAACCGCUUUCGCCUGUGACGAAGCGUGAGUGACGGUAAUGGGUAAAGAAGCACCGGCUAACUACGUG